CAGUAUUUUUGAUGCUAUUGAAAGUUUUGCAUCAUUUUGGUAUUUCUCUGGUUCUCCUUGCUCUUGCGGGACCAAUGGAUGUUAUCAUUAGCCGCCAUCUACAAGAUCUUCCCCAGAAAUCAGUCCUGAGAAGUUGGGAUAGCUUGUAUCAUGGCAUCAUUGGAACUGUUUCAUGGAGCCAAGUUAUGCUGCUGUGUCCUCCAGUAAUUCUCCCCUCAUGCACACCACUUUGCAGAGAGACUUGUGAAAUGUAUCUUAAUCUGGUAAUCGCCUUCUGCAUAUCAGCUGCAGUUGAUGUUGAUCAUAUCUUCUCUUGCCUUCAAGUGUUAAA
rnacentral:lncRNA from 1 species